AGAGUUUGAUCAUGGCUCAGAACGAACGCUGGCGGCAGGCCUAACACAUGCAAGUCGAACGCUCGUAGCAAUACGGGAGUGGCAGACGGGUGAGUAACGCGUGGGAACGUACCCUUCGGUUCGGAAUAACCCGGGGAAACUCGGGCUAAUACCGGAUACGUCCGCAAGGAGAAAGAUUUAUCGCCGAAGGAUCGGCCCGCGUCGGAUUAGCUAGUUGGUGAGGUAACGGCCCACCAAGGCGACGAUCCGUAGCUGGUCUGAGAGGAUGAUCAGCCACACUGGGACUGAGACACGGCCCAGACUCCUACGGGAGGCAGCAGUGGGGAAUAUUGGACAAUGGGCGAAAGCCUGAUCCAGCCAUGCCGCGUGAGUGAAGAAGGCCUUAGGGUUGUAAAGCUCUUUCAGCGGGGAAGAUAAUGACGGUACCCGCAGAAGAAGUCCCGGCUAACUUCGUGCCAGCAGCCGCGGUAAUACGAAGGGGACUAGCGUUGUUCGGAUUUACUGGGCGUAAAGCGCGCGUAGGCGGAUCGCUAAGUCAGGGGUGAAAUCCCAAGGCUCAACCUUGGAACUGCCUUUGAUACUGACGAUCUGGAGAUCGGGAGAGGUGAGUGGAAUUCCGAGUGUAGAGGUGAAAUUCGUAGAUAUUCGGAGGAACACCAGAAGCGAAGGCGGCUCACUGGCCCGAUACUGACGCUGAGGCGCGAAAGCGUGGGGAGCAAACAGGAUUAGAUACCCCAGUAGUCC
rnacentral:rRNA from 1 species